rnacentral:rRNA from 1 species
GAACGGGUGAGUAACACGUGGGUGAUCUGCCCUGCACUUUGGGAUAAGCCUGGGAAACUGGGUCUAAUACCGAAUAUGACCAUGCGCCUCCUGGUGUGUGGUGGAAAGCUUUUGCGGUGUGGGAUGGGCCCGCGGCCUAUCAGCUUGUUGGUGGGGUAAUGGCCUACCAAGGCGACGACGGGUAGCCGGCCUGAGAGGGUGACCGGCCACACUGGGACUGAGAUACGGCCCAGACUCCUACGGGAGGCAGCAGUGGGGAAUAUUGCACAAUGGGCGCAAGCCUGAUGCAGCGACGCCGCGUGAGGGAUGACGGCCUUCGGGUUGUAAACCUCUUUCAGCACAGACGAAGCGCAAGUGACGGUAUGUGCAGAAGAAGGACCGGCCAACUACGUGCCAGCAGCCGCGGUAAUACGUAGGGUCCGAGCGUUGUCCGGAAUUACUGGGCGUAAAGAGCUCGUAGGUGGUUUGUCGCGUUGUUCGUGAAAACUCACAGCUUAACUGUGGGCGUGCGGGCGAUACGGGCAGACUUGAGUACUGCAGGGGAGACUGGAAUUCCUGGUGUAGCGGUGGAAUGCGCAGAUAUCAGGAGGAACACCGGUGGCGAAGGCGGGUCUCUGGGCAGUAACUGACGCUGAGGAGCGAAAGCGUGGGGAGCGAACAGGAUUAGAUACCCUGGUAGUCCACGCCGUAAACGGUGGGUACUAGGUGUGGGUUUCCUUCCUUGGGAUCCGUGCCGUAGCUAACGCAUUAAGUACCCCGCCUGGGGAGUACGGCCGCAAGGCUAAAACUCAAAGAAAUUGACGGGGGCCCGCACAAGCGGCGGAGCAUGUGGAUUAAUU